rnacentral:rRNA from 1 species
GUACCCUACGGGACGCAGCAGUGGGGAAUAUUGCACAAUGGGGGGAACCCUGAUGCGGCAACGCCGCGUGAGUGAAGAAGUACCUCGGUAUGUAAAGCUCUAUCAGCAGGGAAGAAAAUGACGGUACCUGACUAAGAAGCACCGGCUAAAUACGUGCCAGCAGCCGCGGUAAUACGUAUGGUGCAAGUGUUAUCCGGAUUUACUGGGUGUAAAGGGAGCGCAGGCGGCGCGGCAAGUCAGAUGUGAAAGCCCGGGGCUCAACCCCGGGACUGCAUUUGAAACUGCCGGGCUAGA